GGGUAUAAGGGCAGUCUGGAUACAACAUCUGAUCACCAGGGUUGAUUUGACUGAUCUGGCUGCCUGGGCAGUUUUCCUCUUCCUUGCUCUUUGCUCUAUGUGGAUCCUUCCUGAAGCUGUACCCUCACUUGAAGGGGGAUGAACUUCCUGGACAGAAGAGGACCAUUUAUUGGUUUAGAAAAGAGCUCAUUAAACUGCAGGCAAUACUCUUAUAUGGACUCACAUAACUGAAUAUGGAAGUUAU
rnacentral:sRNA from 1 species